CUCACAGAAGCAGACAGCAGCAGCAGCAGCAGUGAGAGAGAGAGAGAGAGAGAGACAGACAUCAGCUGGAUGACUUCAGCUGCUCUUAGAUGAAGAUCUUUGUUUUAACGAGUACAGAGAAAAAUCCUUCUGAACUGAAAUCAUUAUCGACCGUCAAAUAUCGGCGGCUUCCUUAAGGCUGCGUUGUUUGUUGUUGGAAACAGCUUCAGCUCCAAGAAAGACAGACACCAACAGAUAACCCGAUCUUCUGUCUUCCUUUACCACGGGAGCCAUGGUAGCAGAAAUCCUUAAACUCUACUUCAUUGGAACAGCGCUGAGUGUCCUUGCAUUUCUUUAUGGAAUAACGGACUCCAUUGGCGGUCUGAUGUACGUCCAGGACAGUCACAACAUUACGACACUGGACCGCCACACACAGGGGCAGAUCUCCUCGGAUAACCAGCGGAGAGGACCCCCUCUGACCAAAAACAUCGGCUCAUGAGGGAAAGUCCAUCAUCAUGACGUGUGGAUGGACAUGCUUGACACUGUGGCGAUGGAUUAAAAUGCUGUGGACUCUUGAAAAUUACAGUACUAGUCAAUAAUCACUCAAGUUCGUCUAACCUGCUGGACGUGUUUGGCUCUUGGUGAAACCUCUGCCCCAUGUCUCUGUUUGUUCAGCUCUUACUAUUGGCAGUCUAACAGUGUUGCAGCUAAAUGUGUUCACGUAACUACAGAUGUGAUAAGAAAUGUAACAGCACUACUGAUUGCACUAGAAUGUUGAUGAUGUUUUUUCACCUUUUUCCAGGUUUAGUUUUGUAUGUGUUUACUCUUUAAUAAAGGAAUCCUGUUGGAA